rnacentral:rRNA from 1 species
ACUCAAAUGAAUUGACGGGGGCCCGCACAAGCAGUGGAGCAUGUGGUUUAAUUCGAUGCAACGCGAAGAACCUUACCCAGGCUCGAAAUGUAGUGGACGAUAUCAGAAACGGUAUUUUCCGCAAGGACCACUAUAUAGGUGCUGCAUGGCUGUCGUCAGCUCGUGCCGUGAGGUGUUUGGUUAAGUCCAGCAACGAGCGCAACCCUUAUCAUUAGUUGCCAACAUUUAAGGUGGGGACUCUAAUGAGACUGCCUGGGUUAACCAGGAGGAAGGUGAGGAUGACGUCAAGUCCGCAUGGCCUUUAUGUCUGGGGCUACACACGUGCUACAAUGGUCGGUACAGAAGGCAGCAAGACCGCAAGGUGGAGCAAAUCCGUAAAGCCGAUCACAGUUCAGAUUGUAGUCUGCAACUCGACUACAUGAAGUUGGAAUUGCUAGUAAUGACGUGUCAGCUACAACGUCGUGAAUACGUUCCCGGGCCUUGUACACACCGCCCGU